rnacentral:snRNA from 1 species
GUGCUCACUUCAGCAGCAUAUAUACUAAAAUUGGAAUGAUACAGAGAAGAUUAGCAUGAUCCCUGUGCAAGGAUGAAAUACAAAUUCAUGAAGCAUUCCAUAUUUUU